AGAGCGCCGCGCGUUUCAGUGCGCCUGCGCCAAGGCUUAAGCGCGGCUUUGCUUCCGUUCUCUGCGCGACCACCUUUUACCCGGUGGUCUUCGGAGAAUUCUCAGUCCUUUGUAAACUCGUGUGAAGUUUGAAAGGGUGAAGUUAGAUUUUAUAGCGCAGACCGGAAAUCACAAUUGCUUCAGGGUCUGAGUCCAGUCUGGGCAAUCUGAGGGUCCUUCUGGCUUCCCUGCAGAGAAUGGUGAGGAGAGGUGAGAAACUGAGGCCCAGGGGGUGGGAAAGCUACAACCCAGAUUGUAAUGGAGACUUAGUCAUCCUAGAGGUGAGAAAGUGACUUCAUUCGUACCCAACCCUCAGCCUGCCAUGUGGAAGAGGACAGUGCUGGAGCUGAGGUGUGACCAGCCAGUGAAGGUUUCUGAGCAGACUAGCCCCAGAGCCUGGUGGGCACCUAGAGAUACAUACGGAUAUUACCAGGUACAAGGGCCCCCAUAAUUUUAUUCAAAUAAUACUUCUAGACCACUUAGUUACACAAAAAAAUAUAUUUCCACCAAAUUCAGUAAUCUCAGAGCCAGCAGGUGUGGCUGGGGAGAUCCCCCAUUUGGUCCUGCCAGCCUGCUGCAGCAUCUGGGCCAUCAGUGAGACUGGAGGACCUGGAGGGGCAGAUGGUCCUCCUCGGAGGCACUGCUCUUCUCAGGUUUAGAGGCUGGGUUCUUCUCAUUACCUGUAAUGGAGUAAGGAACACUGUGGCCUUGCCUUUGGCAUAUCCCUGGCAGUAAGUGCCAAGGAAACAAGAAAAGGCCACAACCAUGAAGGCCCACCACGUUCUGGGUAUAACAGCCAAUCUUGGAGCUCCAUCUCCCUGCUUUCCUCCUCCGACAAGAAUCUGUGACCCCCUUCCAUGGGCCAUUCAGGAGUCUCACCACAGAACUCAAAAGCCCCCAGAGCUGACGGGCUCUGUCAGAGAUCAGAACACCUGAGACACACUAAAGAGCAGGAGAGAAGUGGGUCAGGAACUCGGGGAGCUCGGAGGAGAGAGGAGACCCUUCUUUAGAGUUGGGGGUGGACAGGGACACCCUGGGGAGAGGAGAGGACAGAGACAGAGGAGUGUCAAGGAAGCAAAGAACCAAGAGAAUCACAGCACGAAUGGCUACCAUGUUGACUGAACUCUGAGGAAUGGGUAGGACAACAGCUCUGGGACUGUGACCCUUCAGGGGCUGUGUAGUGUGGGCCCUGUGAAGUCCUUGUCUGCAUUAGCUAGGAUGGAGUGGGACAGGCCUGAAGCAGAAAGUUUGUCUGAAGGUUAGGGUGCAUCCUGAGACACCUUGUAGUGGGCACAGAAGUGAAACUGUAAGGAGAUGCCUGAGAGGCCAAGGGCAUCGGCAUCAGAAAGGAGAGAUGGGCAGAGAGCCCCCAUCUGGGUGUUAAGGGUGAAGCUGCAUACAUGCUACCUGCUAGGGCAACCCCAAAUCUGUUUGCAGUCAGGCUGGCGGCCAGCCUGCAGCAGAGUUUGGGAUGGGGAUUUGGGUAUGGAAUACCUGGACCUGAUUGGGGGGAGGAGAGCAAAAUGACUCAUUAUCCUGGCAUUGUAAGAAUAGGUAGAGAAAGUGGAAAGGAAGCCUUGGUGUAGGGAAGGAGGUGGGAAAUCAGUAAGCUUUGGAGCAGCAAGAUGCCAGGAGCCUCCUUGUAACAGGUCACACUCACCUUGGGUGGGCAUUAGGGAGAAAGCGGGGGCAUUUGGCAGGAGACAUUUGGUAGGAAAGAGAAGGGAAACGAGAGAACCCCUGAAAGCUGUGGAGAUGUUGGUUUUAGUGGAGGCAGAGAGGUGGAGACAGGAAGGGUUCUUACUAUGCUAGAACAGAAAGGCCAAAUGUCACAGAGACUUACAGGAAGUGACUAUUUAUUUAUUUAUUUAUUUAUUUUUUGGUAUUGAGAGACAGGCUUUCUCUGUGUAAUAGUUCUGGCUGUCUGGGAACUCGCCUUGUAGACCAGGCUGUCCUCAAACUCACAGAGAUUCACCUGGCUCUGCCUCCCCAGUGCUGGGAUUAAAGGCGUGCGCCACCACCUGGCAGGAAGUGACUUCUACUGUGGGGCUCAGGGGGGCGGUGCUUAUGUAGUGGCAGAAAUCUCAGGUCAGGUAGGCUGACCUGUCAAGCAAAGCCGUGGCCCAGGGAGAUGCUGCCUCUGCUGUGAGCCAGGAUAGGAUGGAGGACUUGGGGGGAACAUACUCCCUAACUUCUUCCCUUGCUGGAAACCAAAUCCAGCCCAAGCCUGGACAAAGGGUGCAGCUGAUAACCAGGGCAGGGAGAGAAGACAGCAAAGAGGCCAGAGUGAGACAGAAGGGAAGAGCAUACUCUGAGCUGAGAAUCUUUCCCUAGACAGGCCAACAGGCAGGCUUGCCAUAGAGAGGGACUAAGGCACCAACCCCUGCAGGAGGAGCAAGUGUGAGCACAGCUGCAAAUCAGCCAAACAGGGCUCUGAGUCCCACCCUGGACUCUCAAAGGCUGUGUUGCCAGCAAACACACAGUGCAUGCUCACAAGACCCAGGGCAAGGGCACUAGCCCCAAGGCUACUCACCAGCCCCUGAAGGAUCCUCAGACAAGGUGGGGAGCGUUUUCUCCCAUGCAGUCCAGUUCACUUCCUCUACCCUGCGGUUGACAAAACAGCCCCAAAGUUCAGAGAAGCUAGCAAGCUUUGCCCCUGGGAGGAAUCAUCUCCUUUCUCCCAAUAGACUGUACAGAUAAUGAGGAACAUGUUUUUUUGUUUCUGCCCCUCCCUAACAAGGUACUGGUCCACCCAUCCCACAAGUACUGAUCCUGUGACUCUUGGAUUACAGCCCCUGAAGCCAGGUGUCCACGUGGAAGAGGCACCCUUCUUCCCAAUGAUUCUCAGUGUCUGGGUUACCCAGAGCAACCAGAGCAAGGGAGUGGGGUCAGGUGUAUCUUUGUGCGGCAAGUUCUAAGCUCUUUUGUGGCUGCUCAUCACAAAUAAAGCCCUCAUUUUCUCCCUUGCUCA